ACUCCUACGGGAGGCAGCAGUUAGGAAUAUUCGGGCAAUGGGGGAAAGCCCUCGACCGAGCGACACUGCGUGAAGGAGGAAGGCCUUAGGGUUGUAAACUUCUGAACGAGAGACGAUAAUGACGGUAUCUCGGUAAUAGCACCGGCUAACUCCGUGCCAGCAGCCGCGGUAAUACGGAGGGGUUAGCGUUGUUCGGAAUUACUGGGCGUAAAGCGCGCGUAGGCGGAUUGGAAAGUUGGGGUGAAAUCCCGGGGCUCAACCCCGGAACGGCCUCCAAAACUCCCAGUCUUGA
rnacentral:rRNA from 1 species